rnacentral:rRNA from 1 species
GACGAACGCUGGCGGCGUGCUUAACACAUGCAAGUCGAACGAAGAGCGAUGGAAGCUUGCUUCUAUCAAUCUUAGUGGCGAACGGGUGAGUAACGCGUAAUCAACCUGCCCUUCAGAGGGGGACAACAGUUGGAAACGACUGCUAAUACCGCACACGAUCUAAUCUCGGCAUCGAGGAUAGAUGAAAGGUGGCCUCUACAUGUAAGCUAUCACUGAAGGAGGGGAUUGCGUCUGAUUAGCUAGUUGGAGGGGUAACGGCCCACCAAGGCGAUGAUCAGUAGCCGGUCUGAGAGGAUGAACGGCCACAUUGGGACUGAGACACGGCCCAGACUCCUACGGGAGGCAGCAGUGGGGAAUCUUCCGCAAUGGACGAAAGUCUGACGGAGCAACGCCGCGUGAGUGAUGACGGCCUUCGGGUUGUAAAGCUCUGUUAAUCGGGACGAAAGGCCUUCUUGCGAAUAGUGAGAAGGAUUGACGGUACCGGAAUAGAAAGCCACGGCUAACUACGUG